rnacentral:rRNA from 1 species
UACGUAGGGUGCAAGCGUUAAUCGGAAUUACUGGGCGUAAAGCGUGCGCAGGCGGUUUUGUAAGCCAGAUGUGAAAGCCCCGGGCUUAACCUGGGAAUGGCAUUUGGGACUGCAAGGCCUGAGUGCGGCAGAGGAGACUGGAAUUCCCGGUGUAGCAGUGAAAUGCGUAGAUAUCGGGAGGAAUACCGAUGGCGAAGGCAGGUCUCUGGGCUGACACUGACGCUCAUGCACGAAAGCGUGGGGAGCAAACAGG